rnacentral:antisense_RNA from 1 species
UUUGACACGACAUUGCUCACAUUGCUUCCAGUGUAAAUUCGGCUUUCAGGAAAAUAACGUCUUAUGUU